AAACCAAACGUGUUCAUGUUUUUAUGUGUAUUUGGUUUGUGAAGUGUAAUUUAUGCUUUUUUCCUCUCCCCCACAGAUAACAUGGUUAAUAAAUGAUCAGACACGUCACUGGCUUUAAAAUAUAAACCCCAUUGAUGCAAAAAGAUGCUGCAUGGAAUGACAAUGAGGUUUGGAACAGACUUGAAGAACAUGGAAACAUCUCUAAAUAAAAUGGCCCCAAACAUCAUCAGGAGUGCAAAAGAAGGAAGUAAAAAACAUCUCUACGCCAAUCUCAUUGGAGAGGAAACCACAGAAGGUCUGGUGAGGAAUGCUGCACUUAUGUUAUUGCCAGCAUUAUUUCAAGAAAAUCCCAGCUUCCUUUACUGUGUAAAUAGUGAACCCAAAGGUCCCACACCAACCAUAGUGUUCAACGGCUCUCCUGAUCUUCUCAAAUCUGAAAGUAUCAACUUUAUAAUGGACAAUGUGAACUUAAUAUGUGGAAGACAUUGACAUCACAGGCUGUGGAAUGACUGUGUCACAGGUCGGAGAAGCGAACCGCCCCUGUCGCGGAUCACGCUCCUCCUAGUUCCACCUCGAGGAGGUCCCAAAGCACCCCAAUGACCAGACAAACCAGAGAUAAGUAAAAUAUAAAAAUAGAAACUUUAUUUAAAUUAUUUAAAACUAAAGUGGGGAAUGGGAAUCUAAAAAUCUCGCUUCUCGCCCUCAGGGGGAGUAUUACGGGGCCAGGGACGUUGGAGGGGUUUCCACGUGACUCCAGCUGGAACACCGCUAGAGAGCGUAUCUGGGUGGGUUGGGCACACACCGUCGCGGCGGCCCCUGAUGGCAUCCACAAAGGUCCAAGACCCUCCUAAGCUCCCAGCCGUAGCAGAACUACGUAUUUCAGCACCCGAACGACUAACAACCCAGCCGGCAUCUGCAGCGUAUAUCCAACGCGAUCAAACUUCACUCUGACAAGUAACUUGCUAUACACAACCACGCCGUCCUUUCGCCCGGACCAGCCCCGCACUCUUUCCGCCCGCUACCUAGCGGUCGCCGGAUCAGCAGAGCCUGCGGACUCUUCGGACUCUGCGACCCUUACAGUAACUUCUACCUUCUCUCUUUAUAUCCUCCUCCAUGGCGUGGCUCGCCCAACCAUCGCUCGCCAUGUCACUCACACAGCUGUGCCUUGUUUCAGCGAGUGCGGGGAUUCCCGGGGAACCCGGAAGUGCCGGUGUCUGUACAAACCGGUCCGGGCGGAACCUCUUCACUCUCCUUUUGGUUCCGCCCCGCAUAGUCACUCCGUGACAACUGUUUGCGUUUUUUUUUCUCCUCGAUGUUCAAUACCCUUUUGCCAUUAAGCACACAGUGACAUUAAUUUAUAAAAUAUAUGCUUAAGUUUUAAUACCUGUACAAAACAAAUGUACAAUCAACUUGUGUAAAUUGUCAUUUUAUUUAAUAGAUUGUUCAUGAAUUGUCUUUAAAUGCAUUGUGAUUUCGGUAACACUUUACAAUAAGGUUCAUUAGUUAACAUUAGUUAAUGUAUUAACUAACUUGAACAAACCACGAGCAAUACAUUUGUUACAGUAUUUAUUCAUCUUUGUUAAUGUUAGUUAAUAAAAAUGUAAGCUUUAAUUGCUUGUUCAUGUUAGUUCAGAGUGCAUUAACUAAUGUUAACAAGAUUUUAAUAAAGUAUAAGUAAUUGUUGAAAUUAACAUUAACAAAGAUUAAUAAAGGCUGUAUAAGUGCAGUUCAUUAUUAGUUCAUGUUAACUAAUGUAGCUAACUAAUGUUAACUAAUGAACCUUAUUGUAAAGUGUUACCGUGAUUUCUUUUCAUCAUUUCAGACACAUGUAAAAGUUACUAAAACUUAGUACUGCCUAUACUGUACAGUAUCUAUGCGUAAGGGAAAUAACUUGAACAAAAUUUUUUAUGUAUAGUGUAAUUAAUAGUUUAGCUGUUUAAUACAGAGAUGCAAUAUAUAUAUAUAUAUGUAUAUGUAUGUUUAUUAAAAAGUGAAAAUGCUUAAUGGAAAUAAUUAAAUAACUAAAUGGUUGAAUGUAAUGAGACAUUUUAAAUGUAAACCAAAGUUUUGCUGUCUAAUACAGAAUAAAGAGAUGUGAUUUUAAGUAAUUUUUAUAGAUUUAUAUUUCUGUAUAAUACAAUUAAUAAAUAGUAAACUUUUAUAA